rnacentral:rRNA from 1 species
GAUGAACGCUGGCGGCGUGCCUAAUACAUGCAAGUCGAGCGAAAAGACGAGGAGCUUGCUCCUCUGACGUUAGCGGCGGACGGGUGAGUAACACGUGGAUAACCUACCUAUAAGACUGGGAUAACUUCGGGAAACCGGAGCUAAUACCGGAUAAUAUAUUGAACCGCAUGGUUCAAUAGAGAAAGACGGUGUUGCUGGCACUUAUAGAUGGAUCCGCGCCGCAUUAGCUAGUUGGUAAGGUAACAGCUUACCAAGGCAACGAUGCGUAGCCGACCGGAGAGGGUGAUCGGCCACACUGGAACUGGGACACGGUCCAGACUCCUACGGGAGGCAGCAGUAGGGAAUCUUCCGCAGUGGGCGAAAGCCUGACGGAGCAGCGCCGCGUGUGUGAUGAAGGUCUUCGGAUCGUAAAGCUCUGUUAUUGGGGAUGAACAAAUGUGUAAGUAACUAUGCACGUCUUGACGGUACCUAAUCAGAAAGCCACGGCUAACUACGUG